rnacentral:rRNA from 1 species
CCUACGGGAGGCAGCAGUGAGGAAUAUUGGACAAUGGGCGCAAGCCUGAUCCAGCCAUGCCGCGUGCAGGAAGACGGUCCUAUGGAUUGUAAACUGCUUUUGUACAGGAAGAAACACUCCCUCGUGAGGGAGCUUGACGGUACUGUAAGAAUAAGGAUCGGCUAACUCCGUGCCAGCAGCCGCGGUAAUACGGAGGAUCCAAGCGUUAUCCGGAAUCAUUGGGUUUAAAGGGUCCGUAGGCGGUUUAAUAAGUCAGUGGUGAAAUCUGGUCGCUCAACGAUCAAACGGCCAUUGAUACUGUUAGACUUGAAUUAUUAGGAAGUAACUAGAAUAUGUAGUGUAGCGGUGAAAUGCUUAGAUAUUACAUGGAAUACCAAUUGCGAAGGCAGGUUACUACUAAUGGAUUGACGCUGAUGGACGAAAGCGUGGGGAGCGAACAGGAUUAGAUACCCUGGUAGUCCACGCCGUAAACGAUGGAUACUAGCUGUUCGGAGCAAUCUGAGUGGCUAAGCGAAAGUGAUAAGUAUCCCACCUGGGGAGUACGUUCGCAAGAAUGAAACUCAAAGGAAUUGACGGCUGAGACGNGACGACGACGACGACGAGGGAGGAGG